rnacentral:rRNA from 1 species
AUUGAACGCUGGCGGCAGGCCUAACACAUGCAAGUCGAGCGAGCGGCGGACGGGUGAGUGAUGUGUGGGGACUGCCCGAUAGAGGGGGAUAACUACUGGAAACGGUGGCUAAUACCGCAUACUAUAGGAUAACCCAUAUGGGAUUAGCUAGUAGUUGGGGUAAUGGCUCACACAGGCGACGAUCCCUAGCUGGUCUGAGAGGAUGAUCAGCCACACUGGGACUGAGACACGGCCCAGACUCCGACGGAGGCAGCAGUGGGGAAUAUUGCACAAUGGGCGCAAGCCUGAUGCAGCCAUGCCGCGUGUAUGAAGAAGGCCUUAGGGUUGUAAAGUACUUUCAGUCGGGAGGCGUUACCGACAGAAGAAGCACCGGCUAACUCCGUGCCAGCCGCCGCGGUAAUAC